ensembl:antisense Gm17189 predicted gene 17189
AUAUCCAAACAGGUUCCAGUGGGAGUGGCUGCUGUCCUGGCGGCCAGAAGCUCCCUGGAGAGGUUUUGUUCUGCAGGUAGCGACAGGACCUCCCCAGAAGCCUGAAGAAGCCAAAGAAAUUGUUUGUUUUACCCGAUAAGACGCCAGAUAGUGAAGCGAAGGCCACAAUCCAGGCCAUCACUCAUUAAUCCAUAAUGAGUAUCAUGACUUCCAGGGCACUGGGACGGAUUCGAGCAGGCAUAGCUGUUCUGCGCCUCACACACAUGGCAGGUGAGCGCUGUGAGCCCACGAGUGGAACAUUGGAGAGCAAAGAAGAGAAAAUGAGACUACUGUUCAUCCUGCAGUACUAAACCUGUCAUCCUGUUCCAUGUGGCCACCAAGUCCAGGGCUUAGGGAUCAGUACUUACCGUUACUCUGCACCAACUGUAAGCCCAGAACUACGAGCAAGGCCACUAGGAACGCCAUCUCCAGAGGAUGCCUGGUCCUGUUGAGGAAAGGAGCGAGUGGCUAGCUCUGUUCACUGAAGUCCCCAGUCCCGCGUGGCACGGAACGCUCCCUCUCCUGGUCUGGAUGCCAGCCCCACCCCCCACCUCGCCGCUGCCCCUGGCCUCCCUAUCUCUAUGUUCCGCUGACUUCCAAGCCCUCACACCGUGGAGAAUCUUUCUCACACUUUCUACCCCAGAUAGUCGAUGUUCUGGACCGCUUGCCGGCCCUUGAAACGAACGGUUAAUUUGCUGGCAACCCUCAACCACACUCACUUCCUCAGCAGCCCGUGCCUCAGCGUGUCCACGGGUCCCUGCGUCUGACUGGCGAAGUCGGAGACUCAGCUAGUUUGGGGUCGCUCUUCCCACACUGCCCCCUACAGGGUGCCGUUGGUCCCCUUCUGGAACAUUCCGGCUCCCGCAGCCUCCGCGUCUCAUUGAGGUCCGCCCAGGGAGGACGGAGAGCUCAGAGUCUGCAAGACACCCAGCUAACAGCGCCCUCUGCCUGACCCCACGAUAGUUACUCACGUCUUAGCAAGAACCUUCUUCCUGGCAGCCAGACACCAGACAGCCCCACUCUGACAAGAUGUGGUGCCAGAGCCUGACUGUGUUCAGAUUAGUUCCGUGAACGAACACAACAUGCGCAAGCUACUAGAUCGACGGGUUUACGGGAACACAGCUCCUUCAGACUGGCACAGGAAGCGCGUCUGCAGAUUUUUUUCGUUGAGCUGUCCCCUAGAGAACUCCAGCCAAACCCGUUCCCAUUUCUCUUGCCUCCUUUUGACCCUGCUUUCUCCCCACGGUCUUGUGAUAAUGUUUUUAUUUUUAUUUUUUAUUUUCCACAGUUGCAUGAAUUCCCUAGCCAGAAUUUAGCUCAGCAUGUUUAAACAGUCUCCGUUAAGAUAGGAAAUAAGUUUUUUGGAAGAAUUUGUUAUAGGCAGUACUGUAUUGUCUAGAAUGUCACUCUCAGUGUAUGUACAAGGGCAGCUUCCCACCAGUGAGGUGGAAAGUCAAAGAGUUAGAUGUAUUUGCAACUUAGACCACUAUGCCCAAGUUGAUAGAUAGAUCAGUGGAUAACUUUGUCCUUAUGAUAAACAUAGGUAAUAAUAUGUACACUAUUUGUUUUUAAGUAAACAGCAUUCUUAUCUAUU